GUCAGCAGCCAAACCGCCUGCAGUUCAGACUGCUCAAUCCAUCUGAAGCUAAGAAGGGCUGGGUCUGGCCUGUACUUGGAUGGGAGACCAACUAGGAAAGCUGGAUUGCUGAUGGAA
rnacentral:rRNA from 1 species